rnacentral:rRNA from 1 species
UUAUGGCUCAGGAUGAACGCUAGCGACAGGCCUAACACAUGCAAGUCGAGGGGCAGCGCGGAGUAGCAAUACUUGGCGGCGACCGGCGCACGGGUGCGUAACAGGUGUGCAAUCUGUCCAUAGUCGGGGGAUAGCCCGGCGAAAGCCGAAUUAAUACUCCAUGUGAGUGAGAGCCGCAUGACUUUCACUUGAAACGUAAGGACUAUGGGUGAGCACGCUUCUGAUUAGGUAGUUGGUGAGGUAACGGCCCACCAAGCCGACGAUCAGUAGGGGUUCUGAGAGGAAGGUCCCCCACAUUGGAACUGAGACACGGUCCAAACUCCUACGGGAGGCAGCAGUGAGGAAUAUUGGUCAAUGGACGAGAGUCUGAACCAGCCAAGUCGCCGUGAAGGAUGAAGGUUCUAUGGAUUGUAAACUUCUUUUGUCCGAGGGUAAAGUGCGGGACGUGUCCCGUUUGGCAAGUAUCGGACGAAUAAGCAUCGGCUAACUCCGUGCCAGCCGCUGC